rnacentral:rRNA from 1 species
UACGAAGGUGGCAAGCGUUGUUCGGAUUUACUGGGCGUACAGGGAGCGUAGGCGGUUGGAUAAGCCCUCCGUGAAAUCUCCAGGCUUAACCUGGAAAGUGCAGAGGGGACUGUUCAGCUAGAGGAUGGGAGAGGAGCGCGGAAUUCCCGGUGUAGCGGUGAAAUGCGUAGAGAUCGGGAGGAAGGCCGGUGGCGAAGGCGGCGCUCUGGAACAUCUCUGACGCUGAGGCUCGAAAGCGUGGGGAGCAAACAGG